CAGUAGCCGCGGUAAUACGAAGGGUGCAAGCGUUAAUCGGAAUUACUGGGCGUAAAGAGCUCGUUGGCGGUUUGUCGCGUCUGCUGUGAAAACCCGAGGCUCAACCUCGGGCCUGCAGUGGGUACGGGCAGACUAGAGUGCGGUAGGGGAGAUUGGAAUUCCUGGUGUAGCGGUGGAAUGCGCAGAUAUCAGGAGGAACACCGAUGGCGAAGGCAGAUCUCUGGGCCGUAACUGACGCUGAGGAGCGAAAGCAUGGGGAGCGAACAGGAUUAGAUACCCCCGUAGUCCCUGUCUCUUAUAA
rnacentral:rRNA from 1 species